rnacentral:pre_miRNA from 1 species
UAUACCUCAGUUUUAUCAGGUGUUCAUUAAAAUCACCUGAAAAUACUGAGGCUAUGU